rnacentral:miRNA from 14 species
AGCCACUGCCAACCGCACACUG